GCACAUAAGUUAUGGAUUACCUGGUUCAACUCCACCUUUCACCAAGAACGAAAAAUCAUUAUUACCCCACAUAAAAGAGGUACAGCAGCAGCACUGGACAAUGUAUCAGGUAAUUUAAUGAGAACCAUGCAAGAUCUCACCAAUGGCUUGCAUACCCGCCAUAUGACUUCCAUACGUUUGGGUUGAUAUUUACUAUAGUGUCAGUAGCCGAGCCUAUUCUCGCUUUUGGCACGUUACUGGAGAUAUGUACACGAAACAUUCUGGGGGAGCGGGGAAUGGCAAUACGGCAUUAAAUGCAAAAUAUUGGUGUGGCUGUAAUGGCCUUUGUCACAAGCAUCGGUGGUAGAUAGAUUAGCAGCGGU
rnacentral:sRNA from 1 species